GUAAUUAUAAGUAAUGUUUUAGUGGGCAGCUUUGUUGAAGACUGGGUUUUUUCUCCUUUGAAGUCACUUGAAGGACUAAUGAAGAGUGAGACUAAACUGUAAAACUUCAUUUUGCCAGAUAGCUGGAACAUUAGGGACAUGCUUGGGUAGGUGAUGAUCUUGGAUAUUGAAAACUAAUCAGGGAAAGUAGAUUGAAAGAGAAGCAGAUGAGAUGUGUUUCUGGGGAGCACAAAAUGUUCUACAUGCGGAUUAGCCAUGAGAAAAAUGCAUAGCAGUGACACGCCUGCUGAGCUCUGUGAUGUAGUCGCUUGCGCAGACUGGAAGCAGCCACGGCGCCCGGCCCGCCCUCUUCCGCUGCCGCUGUGGGAAUAGAAACAUCUGCCCCAGGUGCCGGAAGCCAAGUGGUGGCGACAACUGAGCGCCACUCCGCGGCCUGCUGCGCAGAUCCUCUGCGUGUGUCCUCGCGAGACAAGCUCACCGAAAUGGCCGCGUCCACUCAAGGAAACUUUGAGGGAAAUUUUGAAUCACCGGACCUUGCGGAAUUUGCUAAGCAGCAGCCAUGGUGGCGUAAGCUAUUCGGGCAAGAAUCUGGACCUUCAGCAGAAAAGUAUAGUGUGGCAACCCAGCUGUUCAUUGGAGGUGUCACUGGAUGGUGCACGGGUUUCAUAUUCCAGAAGGUUGGAAAGUUGGCUGCAACAGCUGUAGGAGGUGGAUUUUUUCUCCUUCAGCUUGCAAACCAUACUGGGUACAUCAAAGUUGACUGGCAACGAGUGGAGAAGGACAUGAAGAAAGCCAAAGAGCAGCUGAAGAUCCGUAAGGGCAAUCAGAUACCUACUGAGGUCAGGAGCAAAGCUGAGGAGGUGGUGUUAUUCGUGAAGAAGAAUGUUCUAGUGACUGGGGGAUUUUUCGGAGGCUUUCUGCUUGGCAUGGCAUCCUAAGGAAGAUGACCUCAUGUUCAUUGUUCCUGUUUUUUUCCAGCCAGCAGCCUCUACACUCCAUCAUAGGACAUCGAGUCCCUCCUCCUCUUCUCCUAUGCCUUCCUCCCUGCCAUGGCAAAUCCGAGUGGCUUCUGUAAGCGUCUGCUGGUACAAGUUAAUGUGGCACCAUGAGCCUGAUGCUGGCAGAAGAGACAAUAGUCCUUAGCUCUCCUCCCAGUACACCCCCUACUUGGUCAGUCUGUAGGUCAACAAGAAAGUUCCUCUACCCCCAUGCAAGACACUUAUGAGAACACGUUGCAAGAUGGCUGACUGUGGAGGAUGAGUGGAUCCUGAAAGGUUGUCCCGAACUGUUGAUUUGGAAAAGAAAUAAGCACAUAGAUAACCUUGUUGUGUGCUGCAUGGAAAGGAACUGAAUACAUUUGCCUUUAAGCAUGAAAAAAAAAAAAA